GACACGGUCCAGACUCCUACGGGAGGCUGCAGUCGAGAAUCAUUGUCAAUGCACGAAAGUGUGAACAUGCGACGCCGCGUGGAGGAAGACGGCCUUCGGGUUGUAAACUCCUGUCAGCAGGAAGGAAAAAUCAGACGAUUAAUACUCGUUUGUUUUGACAGUACCUGCAGAGGAAGUCACGGCUAACUCUGUGCCAGCAGCCGCGGUAAUACAGAGGUGGCGAACGUUGUUCGGAUUUACUGGGCGUAAAGGGUCCGCAGGCGGUCUUGUGUGUCGGAUGUGAAAGCUCACGGCUCAACCGUGGAAUUGCAUUCGAAACUGCAAGACUAGAGUACUGGAGGGGAGAAGGGAACACUUGGUGUAGCGGUGAAAUGCGUAGAUAUCAAGUGGAACACCGGAGGCGAAGGCGCUUCUCUGGACAGAUACUGACGCUCAUGGACGAAAGUUAGGGUAGCGAAAGGGAUUAGAUACCCCUGUAGUCCUAACCGUAAACGGUGUGCGCUAGGCGUGGGUGGCUUUACCCCCAUCCGUGCCUGAGCUAACGCAUUAAGCGCACCGCCUGGGGAGUACGGUCGCAAGAUUAAAACUCAAAGGAAUUGACGGGGACCCGCACAAGCGGUGGAGCAUGCGGCUUAAUUCGAUGCAACGCGAAGAACCUUACCUGGGCUUGACAUAUAGCUGCAUACGACCCGAAAGGGACGUAGCCUUCGAGGGUGCUAUACAGGUGCUGCAUGGCUGUCGUCAGCUCGUGCCGUGAGGUGUUGGGUU
rnacentral:rRNA from 1 species